rnacentral:lncRNA from 1 species
AUUGUCGCAUGUCGGCAUGAAGACAAGACACGUGUGUGAAUAAGUCAACAGGUUCAUCAAUCUUGGAGAAAUCUAAAGGGUAAGCCAAAGUGAUUCACGAUGGAUAAAAAGUUCUCAAACUCAGACUUUUAUCUUCCUUGUGAUCCUCCACACCACAACACCACUCCUCACAUCAUGCUAUCCAUUGAGGCCGUUGCGUGACGUGACAUUUUACCAUCCCGCGCAUCGUUCAAAAGCCCACACGAUGAUGUAAUGUAAACAGUGCGCACGGUGCACGAGACGUACUCGUUCCAGUUUCCGACGAUGAGCACGGAACUGCCGUUUCAGCGGAAGGGCGACAACAUCUUUGGUUUCCAUAUAAAUACAGCGACUGAAAAGUAGUGAAGGCACACCACAACAAUUCCAACGAACGAAACAGUCAGAGAAAAAAGUCGUCUUAAUUCAAUUAACUACAAUGCCUAACGCCUGCUGCCAAAGUAAAUGCACGUGCGGAAGCGGAUGCAAGUGCGGGCCGAACGGAGCGCCGUGCCAAAAUUCCGCUUGUAUCUGCGCCACUGGAGGAGGUGGAUGCGGAAGUGACUGCCGUUGUCCCAUGAGCUGCGGAUGCAAAACUUCCUGCUGCAAGUGAACACCGUCGGCUAAAUAAUUCGAAGAGGCGGAAAGGAGAUGAAAGUUUCCCAUUUUCGUUUUUCUAUUGCAUUCUUUUUUU